AUUGAACGCUGGCGGCAGGCUUAACACAUGCAAGUCGAACGGUAACAGAACUAGCUUGCUAGUUGCUGACGAGUGGCGGACGGGUGAGUAACGCGUAGGAAUCUACCGAGUAGUGGGGGACAACAGUUGGAAACGACUGCUAAUACCGCAUAAUCCCUGAGGGGGAAAGGAGGGGAUCUGUUUACAGACCUUUCGCUACUUGAUGAGCCUGCGUGAGAUUAGCUAGUUGGUGAGGUAAUGGCUCACCAAGG
rnacentral:rRNA from 1 species